rnacentral:lncRNA from 1 species
GGUUUUGGACUCUUUGGAUAGUAUAUCAUAUAUAAUUGUUAUUGUUUGCAAAUCUACUAUGGCUAUCAUGGUUUUGAAAAUUAGGUUCUCACAUCCAUUGUAGGCUCUUCAUCCUUAUCUCUUAUAAUCUAUUACUUUUCAUCACAAUCAUGCUAAUCACUUGAGUAAUAUUUUAUGCAUACCAUGUUGUGUCAUAUGAUGGUUAUUUAGCUCUCACAUAUCUUAUUGUAUCUAUAUACUCCUAAGGAUAUACGUUUCAGAAAUUAGUUAUAUUUCGAACAAAUACAUUGAUCCACACCAUGUGAGAUGUCUCUUUAUUACGCAAUUUUACUUCAAUUUGGUUUGUAAAAAUACUUCUAUCUCUCUCCUC